rnacentral:rRNA from 1 species
GGAUCAUUACUGAAUUGUCAAACGGGUUGUUGCUGGCCCUCAUAGGGGGCAUGUGCACACUCUGUUUACACAUCCACUCACACCUGUGCACCCUCUGUAGUUCUAUGGUCUGGGGGACCCUGUCUUCCUUCUGUGGUUCUACGUCUCUACACACACACUGUAAUAAAGUUUUAUGGAAUGUACAUCGCGUCUAACGCAAUACAAUACAACUUUCAGCAACGGAUCUCUUGGCUCUCGCAUCGAUGAAGAACGCAGCGAAAUGCGAUAAGUAAUGUGAAUUGCAGAAUUCAGUGAAUCAUCGAAUCUUUGAACGCACCUUGCGCCCCUUGGCUAUUCCGAGGGGCAUGCCUGUUUGAGUAUCAUGAACACCUCAACUCUCAUGGUUUGCCAUGAUGAGUUGGACUCUGGGGGUUUUGCUGGCCUGUGGUCGGCUCCUCUCAAAUUAAUCAGCCUCCCAGUGUUUGGUGGCAUCACGGGUGUGAUAAAUAUCUACGCUCGCUGUUGUCUGCCAGGUAACCUUUGGUCACAAAGGUUUGCUGGAGCUCACAGAUGUCUCUCCUCAGCGAGGACAGCUUUUUUAACGUUCGAUCUCAAAUCAGGU